AAAAGUAAGAACAUUUACUUUUACACAACCAAAAGUUUUCAAUAUACAUGAAGUUGAGGUUGAUGCUCAAAUCUGAUUCCUACUUUCUGCUGUACUUUCUCCUCACUGACCCUUUUGUUUUGUCUGAUUUUUUUCAUUGAGUCCUUUCAUAACAGCAGAGCUUUGAUGAGCUUUGUGCUGAUGGAAGGAGGAUCAGGAAUAGAGCAGAGGACCUGCUGAUCUACUGGUUCUAGUAGAUUUUAUAAAUGCAUGACUGAGACAAGUCAACAUCACUGGACCAAUGAGGAGAGAGAAGACACAGAGGACUGAGGAGACGCAGGAAAUCCUGCUGGAAAUCCAGAGAAGUUUCCUGUUGCAUCAGGGGGACAGCUGAGGACGAGACGCAGAAUAAAGAGACAGAGAUCAUGUGAAAUUCAAGGAUGGCCUUUCAACCCUGGAUGUCAUUUAUGCUUCGGAGCUUCAUGCUUCUGUGUUCAGGCCCUUUAUGUGCACAAGGGUGGAAAAGCUGACAUCAGAAAUGUUAGAGGAAAUCUUUGAAGUUCAGCUCAGCGAAAAGGACAGCACCAGACGACAAGAAGAAACCAGACUGCAAGGAUUCUCCUUGAGACAGACCAAACCUCGCUUUCCUGUUCAAACACUGUCAAGAUACCAAAGCCCAAAACAAAUGAUCAAUUCCAAAAAAAACAUGGACUUUGGGAUAAAAACUCUUUGGACUUUAUUAAGUUCAAAUACAGAAUCACAAAACAUAAAUGUGGAUGUUGGCCUGUGAAGGCAGAUGUUAACUUGUGAAACCUGCUCUGUUCAACUGUCACUACCAACUGUUAUGACUAUUGUUGAAAACUGUUGUAAUGCUUCAUUGUAUUUACAUGUAAAUAUUAGAAAUGAAAAUUUUUAUGUCAUCAAAAAUUGUUGCAAUAAAAAGUGACAUACUAUUAA